rnacentral:siRNA from 1 species
UCGAAAUGCCAUAUGUUUCUGC